AGUGAACGCUGGCGGUAGGCCUAACACAUGCAAGUCGAACGGCAGCACAGUAAGAUCUUGCUCUUACGGGUGUCGAGUGGCGGACGUUUGAUGUUUACAUCGGAAUCUACUUUUUCGUGGGGGUUAACGUAGGGAAACUUACUCUAAUACCGCAUACGUCCUACGGGUGAAUGCAUGGGAUCUUCUGACCUUGCGCGAUUGAAUUAGCCGAUGUCGGAUUAGCUAGUUGGGGUGGUAAAGGCCCACCAAGGCGACGAUCCUUAUCUGGUCUGAGAGGAUGAUCAGACACACUGGAAGGGAGAAACGGACCAGACUACUACGGGAGGCAGCAGUGGGGAAUAUUGGACAAAGGGGGAAAGCAUGAUACAGCAAUACCGCGUGGGUGAAGAAGGCGUUAGGGUUGUAAAGCCCUUUUGUUGGGAAAGAAAAGAAGCAGGUUAAAACCCCGCUGUUAUGACGGUAACAAAAGAAUAAGCACCGGCUAACUUCGUG
rnacentral:rRNA from 1 species